CCAUAUCACGUUGAAACACAGGUUCCCGUACGAUCAGCGACGUUAAGCAACAUCGAGCCUGGUCAUUACCUAGAUGUGUAACCACUAGGAAAUCUCAGGUGUUGUAAG